rnacentral:rRNA from 1 species
CCAAUAGCGUAUAUUAAAGUUGUUGCAGUUAAAAAGCUCGUAGUUGAAUUUCGGGAUUGACGCGACGGUCGUGCCUUAAGGGGCGUGAACUGUCGCCGUUGAUUUCUCACCUUCUGGAGAAGCUCGAUGUCCUUAAUUGGAUGUCUUGUGGAACCAGGACCUUUACCUUGAAAAAAUUAGAGUGUUUAAAGCAGGCAUUUUGCUCGAAUACAUUAGCAUG